GCCCAAGUGGGCAGAGGGAUCCUCCUCCUGUCAUCACUGGUAGGAGAAUCCCCUGCUGUGAUGGCCGUGGACCUGUCGUUAUCUCUUCUGCCUGCAGGACCUAGUCAGGCUCUUCCUCUCCCAGCAGAAACCUGCCUGGGUGACGCUUGGCCCAUCUGUCCAACAACCAGCUGAACAUGGCCAGGUGUUUCUGGGCCAAAACACCACCCUGCCAGAGCCAGCCCUGCCUGU